CCCGGAUCAAUCACACUGAGGGGUGGCCCCUCAAGUGUCAGUCACGCUGGGGGUGUUUUGGGGGCUGUAUCAGCCACGCUGGGGGACUAAGAGAGGCUGGUCUCGGGAUUUCAGUGACACUGGAGGUGACGGGCUGGUCUUUGACUGUGCCAUUCACGCUGGGGUUGGGACAGAGGCCGGUCCCUGUCAGUGCCCGUCCCAUGAGGAUGUCACAGGGCGGUCUCUGGUUGUGUCGGUCACUCAGGAGGUGUGACGGGGCUGUCUCUGGCAGCGUCAGUCACUCUGGAGGUAUGACAGGGGCCUGCCUUCGGCUGUGUCACUCACAGAGGUAAGAGGGGCGACCGGCCCCCACCCCUUCGCUCAGCGAUUGGUGACCAGCGCUGCCAGUCAACCGAUCUGAGGCCGGCGAUUGGUCCGUCAGAAAAAGGGCGGUGCAUCGGCGCGCACCCAGCGACGGCGGGCCGUUCUCCCCUCGCCGCCGAUGGUCCCGGCACAACAUGGCGGCCGCCGGCCGGGCCGGACCUUGAGUACUGCUGCCCUCGUUCCGCCCGCGGGGCCGAGGCCGCCGGGGACAGCGCCCGGCCCGGCCCUCCGCGCACGGAAGCUGAUGUGAAGGAAACCAACUAUGAAAGGUCUGAGGAAUUUGUACUGCCUGUUUCCACAAUUACUAACAAGUGCGUCCCUGCUGAACAUUCAGCUUGAGAAGAAAUUCUCACAGAGCUGAUGGAGGAAUCCUUGCAAAUCUACGACUGGAAGUAUGAUUCAUCCACGCCUGGGGUCUUUGUCACCUUCACACCUGCAUUGUGAAUAUGAACAUUUAGAGUGCUGUUACUCUGAAGAACCUCAAGGAGAGGGAAGCUGUGGGAGAAAGUGCUUCUGCUGCCAUUGUAGCAAGUUGGAGUCAGAAGAGAUGUGUGGUUGUUGUGGGAUGUAGUCAAGACUAGCUGGACUCACCUGAGGCAUCUGUGCUUAUAUCCAUUUUGGAAACCUGUGAGCUCUGUUGAGAAAAUACACCGAGGUGGCUGACCAGUGUGCACAAUAACACUGAAAGCAGGAGUGAUCCCUGCAAGAUUACCUGGUGAUGCUGGAGAGUGCUUAUGACUGCCGGGAGUACAGUAAGUGGGGGAUGAAUGCAUAGUAGCUAGGGGAGCUGGGUCAGGGACUGCUGCUGGUGGUGGAAGAGAAGCUUUUGGGAGGUUUGUGAUGAGGCUUGAUGGGGUCUGGAGUUUGGACUCCUCGUGUUGAACAAUACAGUAAUGAUGCUAAUCGUAAGAAUGGGCUAAUGGGAGUGAAAUGUGCUGACAUGGAAUACAGACAGGAGGGAGGGCUGCAGAGCCUCUGAAAAAUAAGUCUAUUGGAAAAUGACGAUAGACAAGUGGUGUAAGAUUCUGCUUUAGAUUGGUGGCUUGUGUAUGGGCUGUAAGGGAUGGAGGAAAGGGGCCUGGAAAUGCCUGCAGACGGCUAUCCUCCUGUGGCUUUGAAAAAGGCAAAUGGAAUUUUACAAUGUGCCAAAGGACUGCCAUUACAAUGAAGGAAACUUUGCUCUUGUGAAAUGCUCCACUCACUCCUGAUUUCAGAUUUGCUGCAGAUAUGCUGCUGGUGGUGCUCCAUGCCUUGCAGGAGGUGAGGAGUAGCUCCUGUUUUCAUGCAGGCACUACUAAGCUAGCAAGAACAGUUGAUGCUGAUGGGUGACUUGAGCCAUUCUGUUCCAGGCAGUGAUUAAAGAAGAUCAAUUCAGGCUUGUUUUCUGUGUCUGUAGCAGAAGAAAGCACAGUUUGUGUCUCAAAUGAAACCGGCCUUUCUGAGAUGUGAAUGAGGCCUUUCAUUUAAAGCGUGUCACUAUACUGCCUUUAUAACUACUUACACAUAACCUAAAUAGAUGAGCAUUAUAUUUACAUGUAUGUACAUAAAUCUGUAUUUACAUGCUUACAUGCGUUUGAGUGGAUAUACAUUCAGAGAAGCCUUACCCAGACAAAAGCAGUCAUGAGGAACUGAAGAAACAGAGGGAGUAAAGGGAAUAUGUAAAAUGGAUGUUAAGGAGAAAGAAGGGGUAUGAGGAGCAACCAAGACAACUGUCGAGAUGGGGAAAAAUGUACUUUCUGAGGUUAGAUUAGCAAUUCAGUGUGUGUUUAAACCAUGUGAUUGAAAGCUCCCUGUGGAGCUGCUGUCAGCAGAG
ensembl:lncRNA